AGUGGGGAAUAUUGCACAAUGGGGGAAACCCUGAUGCAGCAACGCCGCGUGAGUGAUGAAGGCCUUCGGGUUGUAAAGCUCUGUCUUCAGGGACGAUAAUGACGGUACCUGAGGAGGAAGCCACGGCUAACUACGUGCCAGCAGCCGCGGUAAUACGUAGGUGGCAAGCGUUGUCCGGAUUUACUGGGCGUAAAGGGAGCGUAGGCGGAUACUUAAGUGGGAUGUGAAAUACCUGGGCUUAACUUGGGUGCUGCAUUCCAAACUGGGUGUCUAGAGUGUUGGAGAGGAAAGUGGAAUUCCUAGUGUAGCGGUGAAAUGCGUAGAGAUUAGGAAGAACACCAGUGGCGAAGGCGACUUUCUGGACAAUAACUGACGCUGAGGCUCGAAAGCGUGGGGAGCAAA
rnacentral:rRNA from 1 species